AGCGGCCAUACCAUGCUGAAUAUGCGGUUCUCGUUAGAUCACCAUGAAGAGUCAAGCAUCAUUGGGCGCGGUCAGUACUCGGGUAGAUGACCACACCGGAACACCGCGUGC